rnacentral:misc_RNA from 1 species
GUGAAUCAUCAAAUUUUUGAACGCAAAUUGCACUCUCCGGCUUUCCGGGAGAGUAUGCCUGUUUGAGGGUUAGCCUAAAAAAAAUCGACCUCGUUGCUGUUUCUUGGUGACUUUUGUUGGAGAUUGGGGCAUCUUAAACCCUUUCGGUUUAAGCGAAUUAAAAUUUUGUUUUUCGAUUCCAAGGACGGUUCUAAGAUUUUUUUUUUUUAACCGUUUAAGGUUUCAAAUUGCUUUUUAACGUUAACGUC